rnacentral:rRNA from 1 species
CCCCUAUGUGAACUUAUACCUUUUUUUAAUCGUUGCCUCCGCGUCCAGCCCGGGGGGACGGGAUAGAGAAAUAUAUUUCUUUUUCCUUCCCCCUCCCCUGUCACCGUGCAAACGGUUGUUGGGGGAGCAGGCCCGCCGGCGGCCCAUUAAACUCUUUUUGUUUUUAGAACGUAUCUCUUCUGAAUUAAAAAAAAAAAAAAUGAAUCAAAACUUUCAACAACGGAUCUCUUGGUUCUGGCAUCGAUGAAGAACGCAGCGAAAUGCGAUAAGUAAUGUGAAUUGCAGAAUUCAGUGAAUCAUCGAAUCUUUGAACGCACAUUGCGCCCGCUGGAAUUCCAGCGGGCAUGCCUGUUCGAGCGUCAUUUCAACCCUCAAGCCUGGCUUGGUGUUGGGGCACUACCCGUAAAACGGUAAGCCCUGAAAUUUAGUGGCGGGCUCGCUAAGACUCUGAGCGUAGUAGUUUUUCAACCUCGCUUUGGAAGGAUUAGCGGUUGCUCUUGCCGUAAAACCCCCCCCUAUUAUUUGAAAAUUGACCUC